rnacentral:rRNA from 1 species
UACGAGGGGUGCGAGCGUUGCUCGGAAUUAUUGGGCGUAAAGGGUAGGUAGGUGGUUUCAUUUGUCUGGGGUGAAAGCCUUGGGCUUAACUCAAGAAGUGCCCCGGAAACGGUGAAACUCGAGUACUGGAGAGGGUCGUGGAAUUCCCGGUGUAGCGGUGAAAUGCGUAGAUAUCAAGAGGAACACCUGAGGUGAAGACGGGUUGCUGGGCCAACACUGACGCUGAUGCGCGAAAGCCAGGGGAGCGAACGGG